CCUUUAAACAGUAUGGAAUGUUUUGCAAAAUCUAGUUUUGAACAGUUGACUGAAGUAAGUGGCUACAUGUACACUAGUGAGUCUAAACUUUUGAUGGGUAGUAUACAACACAUGGUGCUGCAUUGAGUACAGCUGUCUGUGAGCUCUUCUCUUGUAUCCAUGCCAUGCCUUUUAGAGUCGUUGAUUUUUAUGCAUAUUUUAUUUUUUGUCACGGGUGUAUAUUUUAUGGAAUCCAACUUAAAACACGGAAGUGUUCAUGUGUUUCCCUCCAUGUAACAAUAUCCGUCUGACACAGUUAUACAUUUUCCUGAUACAUUGCUUCAUAUUUGUUUGGUACUGUUAUAUGUUUGUAUGACCCAGAUAUAUCUGUGUCUGACAUGGAUAUAUAUGUGUCUGACCCUGAUAUAUGUGUUGGACCCGAUAUAUAUGUCUAAUCCUGAUAUAUAUGUGUCUGACAUGGAUAUAUAUGUGUCUGACCCUGAUGUGUGUGUCUGACCCUGACGUAUGUGUCUGACUCUGAUAUAUGUGUCAGAUCCUGAUAUAUAUGUGUCUAACCCUGAUAUAUGUGUCUGACAUGGAUAUAUGUAUCUGACCCUGAUAUAUGUGUCUGACACGGAUAUAUAUGUGUCUCACCCUGAUAUAUAUUUUCCUGACACAUAUAUGUGUCUGACCCUGAUAUAUUUGUCUGACCCAGAUAUAUAUGUGUCUGACCCUGAUAUAUAUAUGUCUGACCCUGAUAUAUAUGUGUAUGACCUGAUAUAUAUGUGUAUGACCUGAUAUGUGUCUGACCCUGUUAUAUAUGUCUGACCCUGAUAUGUAUGUAUCUGACUGAUAUAUAUGUGUCUGACAGAUAUAUAUGUGUCUGACCCUGAUAUAUAUUGUCUGACCCUGAUAUGUAUGUGUCUAACCCUGAUGUAUAUUUGUUUGACCCAGAUAUAUAUGUGUCUGACCCUGAUAUAUAUUUGUCUGACCCUGAUAUAUGUGUCUGACCCAGAUAUAUAUGUGUCUGACCCUGAUAUAUAUGUCUGACAGAUAUAUGUGUCUGACCCAGAUAUAUAUGUGUCUGACCCUGAUAUAUAUGUGUCUGACCCUGAUAUAUAUGUGUCUGACAGAUGUACAUGUGUCCGACCCAGAUAUGUGUCCGACACAGAUGUAUAUGUGUCUUACACAGAUGUAUAUGUGUCUGACAGAUAUAUAUGUGUCUGACACAGAUGUAUAUGUGUAUGACAGAUGUAUGUGUGUCCGACACAGAUGUAUAUGGGUCUGACAGAUGUAUAUGUGUUUGACCCAGAUAUAUAUGUGUCUGAUACAGAUGUAUAUGUGUCUGACAGAUAUGUAUAUGUGUCUGACCCUUACAUACAGAUACUACAGAUACAUACGUGAUGCAUAUGACUUGUUUGUAUUUACUUGUAGGUAUGAUUCAUUCAUAUUGGUUCGUGCAUGUGCUGUGUCCAUAUUGACACAGCAUACAUUCACCUGAAAACAUAAACCUGAAAAAUAUGACUUCUGGCUCAUUGCAUAUACACAUACUAAAGUAGGGAUAUUUUGAUGAGAUCUUUACGCAAUUGUAGUACACCAUAUCAGGGUGUAAGUCAGGGUGUGAAAAUCUACUUCGAAAUGUGUCUAAGUACGUACAAUAAACUAGGUGUUAUACAUUGACUUGUGUGUUUCUCUGUUUACUCACCAGCUUCUAGAAUGCCGAUCAAACUGUUAUACCGACCUGGUUGUAAUCCUGAGACAUAUCAGAUUAACCCUUCAUGUUCUAUUGUAAGGUGUCAGAAGAGAUUGUCAGCUAUUUUCAUCAGUUUCACGAAACGUUCAAUCGUUAUUGGUGCUAAUGGUUCCGGGACUAACUUUUACACGGAAGCCCACAUGGGAGUACGUGACAGAAUACCUCAAGUGAUCGAGUCACAGUACAAAUAUGGCUGUCAGAUAAUCCAGUGAUUGUUUCUUGUAGAGCCCUGACCUGUUAACGUUAACGGUUAACUGUAUACAAGUAUAUAUUGUAUAAACCGUUUUGCUAAUAAACAUGCUAAAAGGA